rnacentral:rRNA from 1 species
CUGGCGGCGUGCCUAACACAUGCAAGUCGCACGAGAAAGUGGAGCAAUCCAUGAGUAAAGUGGCGCACGGGUGAGUAACACGUGAAUGAUCUACCUCCGAGUGGGGAAUAACCUAGAGAAAUCUGGGCUAAUACCGCAUAACACUUACGAGUCAAAGCAGCAAUGCGCUUGGAGAGGAGUUCGCGGCCGAUUAGUUAGUUGGCGGGGUAAUGGCCCACCAAGACGAUGAUCGGUAUCCGGCCUGAGAGGGCGCACGGACACACUGGAACUGAAACACGGUCCAGACUCCUACGGGAGGCAGCAGUGGGGAAUUUUGCGCAAUGGGGGAAACCCUGACGCAGCAACGCCGCGUGGAGGAUGAAAUCCCUUGGGAUGUAAACUCCUUUCGAUCGGGACGAUUAUGACGGUACCGGAAGAAGAAGCCCCGGCUAACUUCGUGCCAGCAGCCGCGGUAAUACGAGGGGGGCAAGCGUUGUUCGGAAUUAUUGGGCGUAAAGGGCGCGUANGCGGUUUGACAAGUCUGAUGUGAAAUCUCUGGGCUCAACUCAGAGUCUGCAUUAGAAACUGUCGGGCUUGA